GUUUCAUUAAAAAGAGUUUCAUUUAUCUCACUUUUUUGGUUCUCCUUUAUUGAAAUCAAACCUCUGCAAAACUACUCUUUUAUUUUGAUCUCCAGUGAUCAUCAUCAAAUCUGGUGUUGGCUGAAGAGGUAGAUGAGAAAACAAAUGGGUGGUUAUAAAUGGAAUCAUGAUUUUGUAUGGGAUUCCGGUGGUGGAGGAAGAAUCCUCUCACACACACGGUGAAAAGUAGCAUGAUGGUAUCUCCUCUCAACAACAAACCAAUGACAACUUCUGAUGCUACUUCCAUCUGCUGCGUGAGCAAAUGCAUUUACUUGCUCUGAUGAAGUAGAAGACCUCAUCCAUAUAGAACCAAAAUCAGUUUUUAGGUCCUGUGAUGGGACAGUUCAUGGUUCGUUGGUAACAUUGACGACCUCAUGAAUGUUUUGAACAACUCAAAAUUGACGAAGAUUGAAAGCACAAUGAGGCAUGUGAAGCAAGUAGAAAGGGUAUCAUCUAAGAAACAUAGAGAACUAUGUUUGUUGAUCAAUUCGAAGCAAGAGUCACAUGAACUGUACACUAACGAACAACUGGCACUUGGUAGUGCUGUGAUCAAGCAGAUCAAAUUGGGUUAUAAUUAAUGGUUUUGUAUGGAUACUGGUGGAAGAGGAAGGAACCUCAUUGAUCCUUGAAUCGCACUAUGAUUUCUCCUCUCAAUAAGGUGAAUAAGAAAUCAGAAACUUGAGACGGACGAUGCUAAGCACUUCAGAGGCUAUGUCCACUAUCCAGAACCAUAGACGGAUUUAUUUUUUUGACUCUUGAGAAGAGGGCCAGGAAAAAACUGUUGAAGGAGAUGGAGGAAAUGACAAAGAACAGGGAAUGGAGCUCAGAGAUGCACUCAGAGAGUUGGUCGAGGAAUCCGACAACAAGGGCCUGAUAAAGGGUUCUAGACCCAUUCAGAGUGGUUCUUUAUGAUGCUACUGCUGAAUAUCUCUAUUUAGUAUUUACUUAUUUAGGAAUCAAUGAUGAUGAGAGUUCAUGGAUGACCUUGCUUGCUUACAUAUGAGAGUUUCCGUUUCAGUUUGUUUGUCUAAGACAAGAUUUGAGUGCUAGAUUCUCUGCAAUCCCAACAACAAUUUCUUAACCGGCCCAAGUGAACUUUUUGGGAAUGUAUUGAUGGAUUGGAACUUCAAGAGGAACUCCAAAUUCUGGUCCAGGAAGCCAACAGUGAGGAACCAAUGCAGGAAGUCGAAAAUAUUUCCCUUCAUUGUGAGAACCAUGUUUGACUCAUUGAUGGUUUGCUUCGUUGCUGGUGGCGGUGGUGGAUCAUCUCAGUAAGUCUUUCGUGGUGGUACUGGUUUGCUUCUGCUGGUGGUAGUUAUUGGUUUUUUUAUGGUGGUUCUCCAUCCUUUUGUGAAUCAUACCAAUGAGAAGAUAAAUGAACUGAAAGCUGAAGCCGAGAGCAUAAGGUUAAAGGUAAAUCUUACCUUGAUUUGUUAUAUUGAUUCUCUACAUUUAGGAGUUUUUAGUGCUUUAGAUCUGUGCUUGGAUUCUCAAUAUUAGGUUUUUUAUUUUUUAUUUUAUUAUGGUUCAUUUUCUGAUUUCUAGUGUUCUUAGUUUCCUUUUCUUUUUUCCCCCUUCUUCUAUGCAUUUUCUAGUGUCAUCAAGUGUUUGUGCUGUGUUGACUUGUUUAAGCUAAUUUGGAAGCUGCAUUCUUAAUCUUUGUUUUGUCUGGAUGUUACUUUCUUUGAGUAUUCUGUGGAUGUUAGUUAUGGCUAUGGUGGCCUUCAUUUUCGGGUCUCCACUUAGCUGUAUCUGCAUGUUGAGUUUUCCAAACAAAUAAUGGGUUUAACUUGUUUCUGGAAUCGCUUUCGGCGUUGGCUCUUGAACUUUUUGUUAGGCUGUUUUAUAGGCAUGCUCAUGUUAGGCUUGUUGUUUAUAGGCAGGCUGAUGUACUAAGUUUGCCUUAAAUGUUCUUUAUCUGAUCUCUGGUAUUCAAAUGAACAAUAGUUUUGUUCUUUUUUAGAUUUUGAGAUUAGAUUAAGUUUGACAGCUAAUUAUAGUUUAUAUGCCUUAGGUAAUUAUAGUUUUGUAUGCGUUUAGUCUGGGUUUAAGAAACUAAUAGGUCCUUGACUUCAUAAUCUGUAGAGAAACAGUUUGUUUUAACUUUUAAUUAAUUCCUUCACAGUCCAGCACUUUGUUUGAUAUCCUUUCAUUAUAUGUGACGAAUUUUUGCCUCAAAUUUGUGGAUAGCUUUUAAACCAGUCUCUUUCAAAAUCACUUUUGUUGUAAUCAAUGUUGAAAUUUAUAUUUGAUUAACGCCGUAAGCAAAUGAAUUUUUGGGGUCAGAGUUGGUUACUCUUUGAUCGAGUCAUUGGGGUGUCUGUAAUUGGUGAAUUUCUUGAUGGUCGUGGAACUAGUUUAUAUGCUUGUAAGACUUCCAAUCAACAAGCAUGCAACACAUUUCUUAUUGAUUGUGCCUUGACUCAACAGAUUUGGAAUUCUUUGAAUUGUAUGAUUCAUGUAACGUGUUGGAAGGAGUGUGGCAUGUUUCAGGUUAAAAAUCUGCAAAUUGUGGAUCCUGAUAUUGUGAGGUUUUUCGGGUUUGAUUUUUUGCAAAUCUGGAAAGUUAGAUGCUCUUUAUUUUCGAAAGUGCUGAGGCACAUGUUAACAAGAUUGCCCAGCUCAUUAGGAUUUAGGAAUGAUUGGAGUGACUGGAAUAGACUGUGGCUAGUUCAGAUAACAUGAUUGAUAGAAAUGGGAGAUGGAAAUGACCAGAUGUACCUUUUGUAAAACUGAAUUUUGAUGCCGCUUUUAAAUUCGAAACUAAGUAUUCUUGGACUAAUCAUUGGGAAGUUUGCAGGAACUUGUGAUGGAGUUCCUGCAAAGAGAAAUGCAUUUUUUUCUUAGAGAUUACACUUUUCUUAGAGAUUACAACCAUGUAGCCGACUCUUCGGCAAAACAUUGUAUUAACCUCUUGCUAUGGAUGAAUGGUCUGACGACUAUCCUUCUUGAAAUUAAGAUGAGAAAUGAAUCUAUUUUUAAUGCACACUCCUUUAAAGAAUGCUAAUUUG